ACUUUAGCUGACAGUAAAAUAUACAUGUUCUAAAGAUUUCAGUGAAUCCCGCCGCCUCAAAAAAAAAAAAAAGUCAUUAAGGGGGAUAAUUUUUCACAUCACUGCAGAAUGUGUACGAACAAGUAAGAGUGAGUCAUGAUUGGUCGUUACUGAGUUGACUCCAACUCCUGUCAAUUCUUUCUCCAACACAGCAAACAAACAAUGUGCAAACAAAAGAGGAGGCAGUUUGUCCUCUGUGACCUCUUGCCUGAGACUUCAUGACUGGAUUGUACUGUAUUGAGUUAAAAUAAAUUGGACUGAUCUGAACUAAAAUACGACUGGAUAUAAUUUUAUAUGACUGGAUAUGAAUUAGACCUGUUUCUCUUUUGAAAUGACAUUUGCUUUGCAUUACAUUGAAUUCAAACUAUGUUUAAAAAGUUCUUUUCUUCAGUGCCCCAACAACCUGAUUGUGCAAGAGCAGUCAUCUGGACCCAGUACCGCAUGUCAGCAUGUGGAUGUGUGACCAUUUGUGACAGACAGAUUUGCUCAAAAGCCAUUUGAAAUGCCAUUAUCAUCAGAAAAGCUCUAGAUCAGCUCAAAUCCUUGGAGUAUAUUUUGUGUGCCUGUGUUUGUGGCACAAAUGACUGAUGAGACAAGAGACUUUGGAAUGGUUUAGCGUUUGAAAUACUUUCUGUAAUCUGAACACAUUUUUACUCUGCUGCAGGUGGAGGAGUCCAUCAUAAAUUUGCAACUUGAUUAAUGCUGCAAUGUUUAUUUAGGUCCACAUCAGGUGACAAUUCCCAAACCUGCAUAAUGUAAGGUCUAUAUAAGGCAACAGCAUAUUAAAUUGCUGAAAUAUGUUUAUGGUUUUAGUUUUUUUUUGUUGGACCCCAGACUGUCAGAGACCCCUGACUGUCUGACCUCCGCUUUAAACACUUUCUAGUUGUUGCGGUUUUAGUGCUAGUUGUAGUGCUGAGAUGAUGAACACCAUAUAAGCAAAUGGAGUAUCAGGGCUGCCACUCCUCAGAUAGAAGGUACACUACAUAAAAACUGUGGAAUGGUGAUUGAAAAAUGCCUAAUUGCAUUUAUCACAAUAAAUUGCAAAAUUAUUCCAAUUUAUUCUUAGAAAUAUAUAAAGAAUCUGCAAGAUACAGGCUUCAGACGGUACAUUAGAACCAAAUUGGGGAUUCCCACACAGCUAUUAGGUGCUGAAUAACUAUUAAAACUAAAGACUGAGGAUCCACUGAAAAUUGGUAGGUGAUCCAUUGAGUGGUUCUGCAUUGUUCUGAUUCUGUAUUAGGUCUUGAGUGGAUUUUUUCCCUCCCUGUGUAUGUCAGACAUGUCUUUCAUUUACUGUUCUGCUGUGGUAGUCUGUCUUGUCCACUUUCCUCAAUUCAUAAACAAACUGCAAGGUAAGCUGUCAUGGUUAGGUUCAACCACCUUAGAGGGGAAAAUGAGUGGAAAAGACCUUAAAAACCAUGGAAAAUGUUAACUUAGGCAAAUUUGAAAAGUUGAUAGGAAGGUUUAUAAACUAAAUGUUAAGAAAACAGAUGAAAUUCAAAACGUCAUGCUAUGCUUUUCAAUCAUCAGUCCACAUGGAUAAGAAGUUCCUUAUGGAAACCAAGUGACACUCAAGCUCAUUCUGGGGGCCCCUAGAAUGAGCUUGAGCUUCCCAUACCAUACAUGGGAAUAUCCAUGUCAGGUAUUCCCAGAUUUAAAAAAAAGGACUACAUGUUCUCUCCGAAAGGAGACAUCGUGUUCAGAAGCUCAAACCAUCUUAACUGACUCCCUUCUCCAUCAAGGAGUAGAAGUUAGUUCUACUCUGAAGCUCCUCUAGACGACACAUUUUGUAACCCUGGCUACUUCAUGGAGAGAGUUCAUUUCAGCCGCUCAAUUGUAGGAUCUCAUUUCUUCAGUCAUGAUCCAUGCCUCUUGACUGUAGGUGAUGGACUAGAAAAUCAGAAGCUUUUCAAUUUAGCUCAGAUCUUUCCUAACCUUGACCUGCAAGUUUUGCCAACAUUACUGCAGAUGUUGACUUGUACAUCCAUCCUCUGCUUCACUCAACUGUCACUUUGAUACCCAGUCUCCUUCGUUUGUAACAGAGAGUAACCACCAUCAUCUGAAAUAAGAUAAAACUGUGAAGUUACAGAAGCAAACACCCUCCCAUUUCUCUGUUAAUUGUGAGUUAUCUCCCUAUUUACUGAACACAAUCUUCAUCUUACAAGCCUUAGAAUAAGUAAGAAAAAGACAUGGAUAAAAUUUAGUUAAAAACAAAUUCAGGACACAGUUAAAAAAAUAUGCAGUGAUAUCAUCUCUGAUUUACAUUCACAUUGCAACAAUUCAGCAGUAAUCAUCCCACUGUGGUGGGGGAGCCAAUUGUUUGGCCCUGUAGCUGCCAGUCAUCUAAAGAAAGUCCCCGAAGGAUGAACUCACAAACGUGUUCAAAAUCUUUUGCUGUAUCUCAUUUCACCAAGUAUUUCCACAUCGCUCCCUGUACACCUAUACAUAGAAUCUAACAGCUGUUUCACAACACUGCGCCACAUGAGUAAUUGUGAAACAGUGCAGCUCGGCCGUUUAUCAAACCUCGUAUACCCCCCUCUGACAAGGAGAGACUAGGAGCCCAAGAUCCUGGAGAAAUAUGCAACUUAUAAGAGACGAAUGGCAUAUUCUACUUGGCCAGGUCUACAGAAAUGAAUAGCUGCUGGUUGCUGGUGUUUACUCUGUGAGAAGGAAAACAGUUAGAAGCACAUUCCAGGACUGUCAAGGGAGAAAUAGCCUUACAGUGGGAAAACAUGGCAAUCAAAAUGUGAGGAAAGUGGUUGUAUUAAAUAUAGAUGUCAGUACAGUGUUUCUAGAAGACAAAGGACUGCUGAAGAUGAUCCAGUCAGAAACAGCAGGGGAGACACUUAAGACAAAUGAAGAUAUUUUAUAUAAAAACAGCACCAAAUCAGAGGGAUCAGACGUUUAAUACUAUGGGAGAACCUAUAAUUAGCUUUUUGCUGCCACCUUGUGUCAAAGAUGUGCCAAUACAUGUUUUCAAAUUAAUAUAACAAAAUAUCAAAUUUGUCAAAUAAGCCAUGUUCAUAAGAUUAGAACAUUAUCAAAAAAUAUAUUUAUUUUAAUGCAUUACAUUAGUUAAUUACACACAGACCGAUGUUUCAAACCUUUAUAAUGAUUUUCUGUUUGCAGUUUAAAUCUCUAUUACAAAAAUGUGUACUUAAUGAGAAGCAUGUUGAAUAUAUCUUAUUUUAAAAUUUAAAAUAAGAUAUUUAAAAUAUAUUUUAGGUUUGUUUAAUCUUACAAACAAACCUAAUCAGAACAAACAUUAAAAUUUAUAUCAUGGAACACUGUAUUCAGUAUUAUAUAACUGUUUCAGGUUGCAGAUUUCUGUCAAAAAUGUUAAAUUUUUAUUUCUACUCCACUAAAUUUCUUUAGAAACAGUUCAUGCCCAAACACUAUAAAACAUAAUGCACAUUAAUACACAUUGGCACAUAGAUCUCUAAUAAGAACAAUGACAUGAUGCAUCAUCACAGAUAAAUUAAAGCACAAGCUUUGAGAUCUGAAGUAAAAAAAUAUGCAGAAUAGUUGUAGAAGAGUUGUAUGUAGAAGAGUUUAACACGGGAUGAAGUUGAUAUAGACCAAUGUAUUGUAACAUUUGGAUGUGUUAAAUUUGAAUAACCACAUUGUUGGCAAUGAAAGAACUCAAUAUUAGCAUUGCAUUUUUUUACAG